UACGUAGGGUGCGAGCGUUGUCCGGAAUUAUUGGGCGUAAAGGGCUCGUAGGCGGUUUGUCGCGUCGGGAGUGAAAACCCAGGGCUUAACCCUGGGCUGGCUUCCGAUACGGGCAGACUAGAGGUAUGCAGGGGAGAACGGAAUUCCUGGUGUAGCGGUGAAAUGCGCAGAUAUCAGGAGGAACACCGGUGGCGAAGGCGGUUCUCUGGGCAUUACCUGACGCUGAGGAGCGAAAGUGUGGGGAGCAAGCAGG
rnacentral:rRNA from 1 species